rnacentral:tRNA from 1 species
GGGUUCGUAGCUCAGUUGGCUAGAGCGCUUCCUUGACGUGGAAGAGGUCGGGGAUUCGAGUUCCUCCGAACCCACCA